GGGGGCCCGCACAAGCGGUGGAUGAUGUGGUUUAAUUCGAUGCAACGCGAAAAACCUUACCUACCUUUGACAUGUACGGAACUCGCCAGAGAUGGCUUGGUGCUCGAAAGAGAGCCGUAACACAGGUGCUGCAUGGCUGUCGUCAGCUCGUGUCGUGAGAUGUUGGGUUAAGUCCCGCAACGAGCGCAACCCUUGUCAUUAGUUGCUACAUUUAGUUGGGCACUCUAAUGAGACUGCCGGUGACAAACCGGAGGAAGGUGGGGAUGACGUCAAGUCCUCAUGGCCCUUAUAGGUAGGGCUACACACGUCAUACAAUGGCUGGUACAAAGGGUUGCCAGCCCGCGAGGGGGAGCUAAUCCCAUAAACCAUUCGUAGUCCGGAUCGCAGUCUGCAACUCGACUGCGUGAAGUCGGAAUCGCUAGUAAUCGCGGAUCAGAAUGUCGCGGUGAAUACGUUCCCGGGUCUUGUACACACCGCCCGUCACACCAUGGGAGCGGGUUCUGCCAGAAGUAGUUAGCCUAACCGCAAGGAGGGCGAUUACCACGGCAGGGUUCGUGACUGGGGUGAAGUC
rnacentral:rRNA from 1 species